UACGAAGGGGGCUAGCGUUGUUCGGAAUUACUGGGCGUAAAGCGCACGUAGGCGGACAUUUAAGUCAGGGGUGAAAUCCCAGAGCUCAACUCUGGAACUGCCUUUGAUACUGGGUGUCUUGAGUAUGGAAGAGGUGAGUGGAAUUCCGAGUGCAGAGGUGAAAUUCGUAGAUAUUCGGAGGAACACCAGUGGCGAAGGCGGCUCACUGGUCCAUUACUGACGCUGAGGUGCGAAAGCGUGGGGAGCAAACAGG
rnacentral:rRNA from 1 species